UUUCUUCCCCAGCACUGUCUCCCUCAGCAGCGAUGAACUCGGAUUUCUGUGGCCAGUCGCGAGCUCCCCUGCCGCGCCUUCUCUACUGUUUCUAGCGCCGCGCCGUGGAGCUCCUUGCUCGGUGUCCAGAGCCCAGCUCUCCAGUGCCGCCGUUCCCUGUGCCGUUCUUCAAGCCAGGCACAGCCGCGUCUCUCUGCCUCUCUCUACUUCUCUCUCUGCUUGCUGCUUCUCCUGGAGUCUCCCUAUCGCGCCCUGCAUCUAUGGAGCUCGUCCUCUGGCUUCUCCUGUGCGCGCGCUGUUCCUGCUCGCCAAGCUGUUCUCUGCCCUGCGCGCCUCCCUCUGCUCACGCGCUCACCUGCUUGUUCACUGCGCGAGCUGCGUCAAGUUUUUUUUCUCCAGCCGCUCGGCGUCCCCAACCAUAGCCGCGCCCCUGAUCGAGCUCCAGCUCCUGCGCGCCCCGCUCGCCGAGCUCGCCCUGCGCUCGGGUGCAGCCCUGCGCACAGCUGCUUUUUAUUUCCCUCACCGCCGCGCCGUGAAUUUUCCUGCGCGCGCGUGUCUCCUUGCGCACGCUUCGCCGUCAAGUUCUCUGGUGUUUACGUGCCAUGAAGUUCCUCCAGCGCCGUAGCUUCCCAAUUCCUUCUAGUCGCGCGUGCGAAUUUUCUUCGCUCGGCUUUAAUUCCCCAUCGCGCCGUGCUCCUCUGUUCGCCGUGCGCGCAAAGUUUCCCUGCUCGUUGGCGCUUAUCCAAUUCCACCGCGUCGCGUCUCUCUGUCACGUCGCAUCCGCAAUUCACCGCUAGCGUCUGGCCGUCGGUGGAUCCUCGAUAUCACGCUAAGGAUAGUGAAGACAGUACUGUUCCGUGCAUCGCAUAUUCGAUGCUCGAUGGAAUGCUCAACUAGGGGAUGAUAGCUUUGUGUGUCGUCGAGCUUCGCCUUGUUCAUCGUCAUUCCGUGCGUCGGCAAGAAAUCCCAAGAGUCGGGUGAAGAUGGAGCCAACAGCAUGGUGUUCACCAAAUGCAUGACAGAAAGCUUGAGCCAGGAUUUAUCAGCGUUCGUACGAGUAUUGGAUCACGUUUGAUGCUGGAAUGUUAAUUAAUCACGCGAUGCGGAAGAAGAACCAAGUCGACCCCAAGCGCGGGUUAAUCUGCAAGCCGAAGCUGAUGAAUCAACCUGAAGAUGGUUAAAUCAAGCAAGUGCUCGGUCGAAGAAUACUCGUCAAGCAGACGUCACCUAACAACACUAACCUAGUGUUACUCAGGUCCUAACUUUGUGAUGCUGUUGAUGGUGUUAAGUGCCGGUGGGCUCGGCCUUCUUAUAAGUCUAAGUAACCCUUCUAUACUUCUUAUUGAGGAUGGUCAUUUAAGCUAGCAUAUAUUUCAAACUUAUACUUUUGUAACCAC
rnacentral:misc_RNA from 1 species